GACGGAGGAGGCAAGCGUUAUCCGGAAUUAUUGGGCGUAAAGGGUACGUAGGCGGCUGGCCAAGUCUGGGGUCAAAGGCCACAGCUCAACUGUGGGAAGGCCCUGGAAACUGGCCGGCUAGAGUGAGGUAGGGGUUGCGGGAAUUCCCGGUGUAGCGGUGAAAUGCGUAGAGAUCGGGAAGAACACCUGAGGCGAAAGCGCGCAACUGGGCCUCAACUGACGCUGAGGUACGAAAGCUAGGGGAGCUAAUGGG
rnacentral:rRNA from 1 species